UUCCUCUGAAUCACUGAUGUAAAGUGGCACUGUAAGGCAAUUGUGGUCCUAGGACACACCAGGAAGAUUUUUGCAGGAGUAAUAAAGUUUUAGUACCUCAGUAUAUGAUGCUUAUGUGGUCUCAGGAAUAAUAAUGAUCAGCUUUUAAAUGGGUGUUUCAGAAGAAAGAACUGAAACUUAGAAUAUCUGUCCAAAAGGGCCAUGGAAAUGACAGGAUUACUUGUAUUACAGAAGAAAGUCAAAAGUUGUUUCCUUGUGCCUACUACAGUGAAGGCUGAAGAAAGAGGGGCAAAAGGAGGUAGGAAGCUCUGACAAGGUGUCUUCAGGAAACAUCAAAGCAAAAAAGAAAUUUUGCUGCUGAAGGACAAAAGAGGAGACAUGACUGCUAUUUCAUAUCAUCACUAUUUUUGCCAGCGAACUCUUGUGAUUGUACUGCCCUGAUUUGCAAUAUUUGCUUCCAUCCCAGAGGCACUACUGAACAUAUAAAUGACUGCUUUUUGUGCAAAGAUCACACAAGUUACACAGGCUUUCAAAAGAACCUGAAAAGACACUUAGAAUAUUUUGAGUCUUUAUGCUUAGUUGCAAUUAAAACCUCCACCAAACUGGACCGUGCCUUCACUGCUUAACAUUCAACUGUGAUGACCAGUCUGAGCUCACUCUCAUCAGGGAUACUUGCUUGGGCAUCUUUAAAGAAAAUGGAUAGAAAUCUCCUCCUAUCAUAUGUCACAGCUGAACUUACUCUCCAUUCCAAAUGAACAUCCUUUUUACAUGGACACUCAAUGAGCAUUUCAAGCUUCUAGACUGAUCUCUUGUUUCACUAUUGCACAGGAAUCUGUACAACUGGCAUUGUAGUCUUUGUGCUGAGGCGUAGUGGUGGAAAUCUCUGCAGUGUGUAUGCCUGGAAGAUACUGCUCCUCAGAAAUAAUGUGCCUAUGGCAGCAACAGGAGGACACACAAAGUUAAUUCCCCCUAUUAUCCACUGGAAAAAGACAUUUGAAAUGAACAGAUUUUAAAAUGAACAGAUAGAGAGUACAUCAGCAAAUUGCUCAUCUCUCCAAUUCGUGCUAUUGAAAGAGCACUUGGGGACUGAUUUGUGAUAAUCUGGUGAUUCACUGGAAAGAGCUGAAGGAACAAUGCCCCCCCUGUGGACAAUGAUAAGCAAGAAUGAGAUUUCUUAUUACUGCCGAUGUACCUGCUGAAAUUACUGCUCAAGUACUUUUUGCUAUUGAUGUUUUUCCUUCUGUUGUAAUUAAACAACACCAGAACACUGCCUUCUGAUGUGUUUCAAUUAAACCAAAG
rnacentral:lncRNA from 1 species